AUAUCAAUAAGCGCAGGAAAAGAAACCAACAGGGAUUGCCUCAGUAACGGCGAGUGAAGCGGCAACAGCUCAAAUUUGAAAUCUGGCCUCUCGGGGUCCGAGUUGUAAUUUGUAGAGGAUGUUUUGGGUACCGCCCCGGUUUAAAUUUCUUGGAACAGAAUGUCAAAGAGGGUGAGAAUCCCGUCUUGGACCGGCGGUAGGGCCUAUGUAAAACUCCUUCGACGAGUCGAGUUGUUUGGGAAUGCAGCUCAAAAUGGGUGGUAAAUUUCAUCUAAAGCUAAAUAUUGGCCAGAGACCGAUAGCGCACAAGUAGAGUGAUCGAAAGAUGAAAAGCACUUUGAAAAGAGAGUUAAACAGUAUGUGAAAUUGUUGAAAGGGAAGCGCUUGCAACCAGACUUGAGCGCGGCGGUUCCCCUAGCCUUUUGGCUAGGUUACUCCGCCGUGUCCAGGCCAACAUCGGUUCUGAGGGUCGGUCAAAGGCCUUGGGAAUGUAUCUACCUACGGGUAGACUUAUAGACCAGGGUGUCAUGCGGCCUCUCGGGACCGAGGAACGCGCUUCGGCUCGGAUGUUGGCGUAAUGGUUGUCAGCGA
rnacentral:rRNA from 1 species